rnacentral:rRNA from 1 species
GUAGUCCUGGCCGUAAACGAUGUCGACUUGGAGGUUGUGCCCUUGAGGCGUGGCUUCCGGAGCUAACGCGUUAAGUCGACCGCCUGGGGAGUACGGCCGCAAGGUUAAAACUCAAAUGAAUUGACGGGGGCCCGCACAAGCGGUGGAGCAUGUGGUUUAAUUCGAUGCAACGCGAAGAACCUUACCUGGUCUUGACAUCCACGGAAGUUUUCAGAGAUGAGAAUGUGCCUUCGGGAACCGUGAGACAGGUGCUGCAUGGCUGUCGUCAGCUCGUGUUGUGAAAUGUUGGGUUAAGUCCCGCAACGAGCGCAACCCUUAUCCUUUGUUGCCAGCGGUCCGGCCGGGAACUCAAAGGAGACUGCCAGUGAUAAACUGGAGGAAGGUGGGGAUGACGUCAAGUCAUCAUGGCCCUUACGACCAGGGCUACACACGUGCUACAAUGGCGCAUACAAAGAGAAGCGACCUCGCGAGAGCAAGCGGACCUCAUAAAGUGCGUCGUAGUCCGGAUUGGAGUCUGCAACUCGACUCCAUGAAGUCGGAAUCGCUAGUAAUCGUGGAUCAGAAUGCCACGGUGAAUACGUUCCCGGGCCUUGUACACACCGCCCGUCACACCAUGGGAGUGGGUUGCAAAAGAAGUAGGUAGCUUAACCUUCGGGAGGGCGCUUACCACUUUGUGAUUCAUGACUGGGGUGAAGUCGUAACAAGGUAACCGUAGGGGAACCUGCGGCUGGAUCACCUCC